rnacentral:rRNA from 1 species
UACGGAGGGUGCAAGCGUUAUCCGGAUUCACUGGGUUUAAAGGGUGCGUAGGUGGGCAGGUAAGUCAGUGGUGAAAUCUCCGGGCUUAACCCGGAAACUGCCAUUGAUACUAUCUGUCUUGAAUACUGUGGAGGUCAGCGGAAUAUGUCAUGUAGCGGUGAAAUGCUUAGAUAUGACAUAGAACACCAAUUGCGAAGGCAGCUGGCUACACAAAUAUUGACACUGAGGCACGAAAGCGUGGGGAUCAAACAGG